CCUACGGGAGGCAGCAGUGAGGAAUAUUGGUCAAUGGGCGAGAGCCUGAACCAGCCAAGUCGCGUGAGGGAGUACUGCCCUAUGGGUUGUAAACCUCUUUUGUCGGGGAGCAAAAGCCGGACGUGUCCGGCUGUGAGAGUACCCGCAGAAAAAGCAUCGGCUAACUCCGUGCCAGCAGCCGCGGUAAUACAGAGGUGGCAAGCGUUGUCCGGAAUGACUGGGCGUAAAGGGAGCGUAGGCGGGCUGUUAAGUUGGAAGUGAAAUCCCGGGGGUCAACCCCGGAACUGCUUUCAAGACUGACGGACUUGAGUGUAAGAGGAGUAAGCGGAAUGCCUAGUGUAGCGGUGGAAUGCGUAGAUAUUAGGAGGAACACCAGUGGCGAAGGCGGCUUACUGGAUUAUAACUGACGCUGAGGCUCGAAAGCGUGGGUAGCAAACAGGAUUAGAUACCCUUGUAGUC
rnacentral:rRNA from 1 species